rnacentral:rRNA from 1 species
UACGUAGGGUGCGAGCGUUGUCCGGAAUUAUUGGGCGUAAAGAGCUCGUAGGCGGUGUGUCGCGUCGGCCGUGAAACCUGGGGCUUAACUCUGGGCGUGCGGUCGAUACGGGCAUCACUGGAGUUCGGCAGGGGAGACUGGAAUUCCUGGUGUAGCGGUGAAAUGCGCAGAUAUCAGGAGGAACACCGGUGGCGAAGGCGGGUCUCUGGGCCGAUACUGACGCUGAGGAGCGAAAGCGUGGGGAGCGAACAGG